CGAGGGGGAGGAGGAGGCCGAGGGGGAGGAGGAGGCCGAGGGGGAGGCCGAGGCCCAGGACGCUGAAGGAGAAGAGGAGCCAGGAGAAGAAGCGGAAGAUUCCUAGGCCCUCUUCUGCUGAAUUCUCCAGUUUCCCAGACGACCCCAGCCACGGAGCAGCCUUUGAGAUAUCUCCCCACGCACGCAACCCAAACCACGCCGGCCGGGAACCCGCCCCGGGGGCCUCUGAGCGGCCGGGCUUCGCCCAGGACGUCUGGGGGGGCCCCCACGCCCGCCGCCUCUGCCAGCCGCGUCCGUCUGGAGUAGAACGCACCCGCCUUCGCGCCGUCGCGCCCCGCGAUUCGUUUUGCUCUGAGCAGGUAGCUCCCCGGGAUUCGUACGCAGGAAGAGCGGCUGGGAGGAAUUCAAGUUCCGAAGCUUUGUGUGUGCCCCGCGGUCCUUGUCCUAGGGACUGAGCUUGGAAAGCGAGGCGCUUUCCGGAGAGCCAUCGUCUAAAUAAAGAUGGAUAGCAAACGU